GCCCAGUUUCCACUGUUUCGACCCUCCUGGAUCUGUUUUCGGCCCCGAUUAAGGAAACAAACCCCAGCGAAGUAGGAAGCAACUCUCACGGAACGGGAGCUUACGUUUAGCUAUUUAGGAAGUACUUCGGCCGAGGCCAACCAUGUAAAGGCAAGGCUCCCAUGUACGGUUGACGGUGGCAUCG